CAAAUAUUUCACUAUUUUUCAGAAUUUAGAGGUUUUCGGUUGUUUUUGAGCUAGAAAAUCUUUCCCUCGCACUUUACUUGUUUUACUACGUGGAGGAAAAGUGCCGUUUUGUUUCGUUCGUUGAUGCAACAAUUCACUAUCAAGAAAGAUUAACUAUUUUUUCAAGGUAAGAUUGGUGAAACUAUUUUUAAUUUGUAGAACCUUGCUAGUUGCUAGAUAUAAAAUGACUCUCGAAAAUGAGUCAAAUGACUAUAAUAUAAGUCAAAAACUCAUGCUACUAUAUAUAUACAGCAAAUAUUUCAAUAGCAGACACAUGAACCGGGAUACGGACAUAUAAAUCCUGUUUAUAAUCGUUGAAAAUUGUGGACAUGAAAUUAUGUUGUUUUGUGUUUUUUAUUGCCAGUUUUUAAUAAUAUAUAAUAAUUGUGGUUGUUCACAUGCUCACACGGUCGUACAGAUUAUAUAUGGUGUGAAUCAGGAUUAAUAUAUAGAUAAGCACAAAGACAGAGAGUGUGGGACAGAGGGAAAAAAUACCCAGGACCUGAGAGUGUUCAAAGCAGUUAGCAAAAGUUGGAUAAGCAUGAUUGCUUGCCUAUGAUGUGUUUUAGAGAUAAGAUAUGGUAUAACUGAAACUAUCUUUUGAGUUAGAUUUAACAAUCUCUCUCAAUAGAUUUAGCAGCAAGUGAUAGUCCAGAAACUGCACAGACUUCAUGUCCUGUGAACAAGGCUGCAUUGCAUUCCCCCACAUUGAACAAGUCUCACUGAGCUUGGACAAGCAAGUCCUACUUUUGCCAGGCUUUUUGUAGCAGUGUUUAUAUAUGGAGUUGUGCGGCAGUGGUGGCCAUAUGACCAUGCACUUUAUGUUGUUGGAUAUCGUAGUUCUUUAAACUUUUUUGCCUUAACCCAUGGAGCACCAUGCAGUGCUGUCCCCUUGACAAGUAAAAUUGUCUGGCAUUAGACAGAUAAUCUGGUGUUUGACAGAGUAAGAUUAACUAAAGUUGGGCACAUUGGGUAUGCAGAUAGUUUGAUUUAUAUUCCAUUGAGUGCCAUGAGCACUAGCUCCAAGUGACAGUAAAAUAGUCAUGCAUAACCAUGCAGAAGAUUGUCUGAUUAACCCACUGAGUGGCAGUGCUCUCCACUAAAGUACAUUAGGGUGCAUUGCCACUUAAAGGGUUAACAUAUAUGCAAUACAUAUUAUAUUUUUGUUAAUUACUAAAGAUGUGUAAUAACAUGAUUGUGGUAUAAUAAUGAUCUGUUUAAUUAAUACAGGUACCAGAAGUGAUGGCACAGGAUGCCAAAAUGGAGAAGAACAAAUUGAAGUUAUGGCACAACCCUUUUUUAUUGACAAUAAAGAGUACUACACACAGUCACAUUUAAUUUUUUAACACUACAGUACAUUAAAUCUAAAUGUACAUCUUUGUGUCUAAAUGUAGUAUGUCCAUGUUUGUACAAUUGUAUAGCAGGGACUGAGAGAGCAGAAAAGAAAGUUAGUUAUUAUAUUGUAUUAAAAUAUAUUCAAAGUACCAACAGCAACCUUUUAUCAGAUUAA